GGGAAGGAGAGCACCUUUCCCCAGUGUUUAAAGCGCAGGUUAUAGGCUGCCCAUGGGUGUCAGUGUUAAGGAAGCUUCCCAUUCUGACCAUUCUGUGACUCCCUGGCAGUCACACUGCCAAAGGUCAGAGACUUUCACUGCUGGAACCUGUGAUAAAUGAGUGAAUGAUAGAUGUUGUCUUUCGCAUACAGGAUUUUAACAUUUAUAAGUGAUGAUGUACUAUGUAGAAACAGUGUUAAGGUAAAAUGUAGUUAAGUAGAAACCAUAAUUUUACCAUUAGGGUAAAUUGUAACUUCGAAAUAGUUGUAAUAUUUUAAGAAAUGUAUUAAUAAACACAUGGUAAUAAAUGUCUUUUGAGUUGAGAAACCACAGAGCCAGGAACCAAGACAUCUUAGAGAAACAAAGAAGAAAACCGCAUGCAUCCCAGGAAGACUGUUCUCCCAUCAGAACUCACACCUCCCAAGGGAACUGUCAGCUGCAAAGGAGGCUGGAGACUGCGGAGGCACCGGAGGGGGGUGCCUGCCUUCUGUUCUGAAGCGAUCCCGAGCACCGAGGCGGCGGCAUGCUGGCGGAAGGGGCAGAGACCGGAGAGGGGGGAAAGGUGCAGAUGAUGGGCUGCCCAACAGGAGGCAAAGGCCAGCAAGACCUUUCUUUCUUGGAACCUGUUGCGUUGUAGCAAUCCCUGGACAUGUUCAACCUUGGAGCUGAGCUCCUGAUGCCAAACUGGGAUCUGCAUGUGAAUGUCACCACCUUUCCUUGAGAAAGGAAGCAUCUAGUUCUACUCUUGGUGCUGUGUAUGAUCGUCUGCCCAAUGGAAGUAAAGGUCAGCAAGAUUAUUUAUUUCAGGGUUGUGCAAGCCUGGGUGCUUGGUGAUUUUCCAGAAGUCCAGCAUGCUCCAGCAGACUUUGAGCAGCAUUUUUUAGACACAGAAAUUCAGAGUUAGUAACUUCCCAAGUACAGCCCCUCUGUUAGGAUUGGUUAGUAGUUUCCAUAUAAGUUACAUAACCCAGGAGUCUUUUUGACAUGUAGGCAUGAUUUUUUAGUGUUACAAUGAACAUAGUUCACCUAUAGGAUACAUGCACCUUGAGUACUUUGCCAGGUCAGCAGUGUAGACAUAGACAUAUACCAGCAUCUUGAUUUACGACAUCCUUAAAGCCUGUCUCUUAUACACAUCUAGAUGUGUAUAAGAGACAGCUGUUACAUAACCCAGGAGUCUUUUUGACAUGUAGGCAUGAUUUUUUUAGUGUUACAAUGAACAUAGUUCACCUAUAGGAUACAUGCACCUUGAGUACUUUGCCAGGUCAGCAGUGUAGACAUAGACAUAUACC
rnacentral:lncRNA from 13 species